UGCAUGAGUCUGUUUGGAGCCGAGAAACGUCCGAGCUGCUGUUCACACUGGGUGUUCUUGGGGACUAACUGGGUAAUUCGAGUUUCAUUUUCCCUUUCUGGAUAUUUAAAGGCCAGCCUUCAGAUCAAUUUCAUGCAUUUGGUCACUGGGGAGGCCAAUUCCUUGAGCAGCCUGUUUGCAGAACUGGUUCUUUGAGCUCCACCCUGCUCCAUCAGCCAGGCCCCCACGUGGCAGGAGUAAUGUACCCGGCAAGGUAACAAGGAAUGCAGGCCUUUCAUUGGUUCCCUACGACGUAACUUUACGGCGGAUUUGACGUGAGUAGCAGAGCUGAGAGCCUCGGCUGAGUUUUCCAGCUCCGCACUUCAUCCCUUCCUGGAUGCCUUGCUGGACACGCUGUUUCCUCUGGGACUAGGACACUUUGAUUUCCCU